rnacentral:tRNA from 1 species
CCUUUCGUAGUUUAGUGGUCAAAGCAUUGAAAAGUAAAGCUAAAGGUCCCGAGUUCAAUUCCCGGCGAGGGUG